AGGCGGGCGGGCCCGGGCCGGGAUCGGGGCAGCCCCGGCGAGUCCCGACCCGGAAGUGUGUGCCCUGGGCCUUGCUGGACCUGGAGCCGGGCACCAUGGACAGCGUGCGGUCAGGCCCUUGGGGCAGCUGUUCCGGCCUGACAGCUUCAUCUUCGUUCUGGAUAAGAAGAGAACAUUGCAUUAGCAAAGCUGGGUGGAAUCAGCCGCUCGCAGCCCACUCAGGCCCCCAAGGGAGCUGCAUGUGAGUCCCUCAGCAUUGCUGAUGUCUCAAGGCUGCUGGGCGAAGGUUGCCACUCUGAGCUGCGGCUGCCCACAGGAAAGCUCUCACCAUGAAGCUUCUUGAUUUGAAACAAAAUCAAGAGCGUUUGCCAUACUGGCUUCCUCCUCCCUCACCAUGGAGCGUGCUCACCGCAAGCUUCGGCCCUGCGUGUCCUUCUCACGUCAGCACUCAUAGACCUGUGCACAGUUUUCCUCCGGAAGGACGACCACAGGACUUUCACAGGCUGGGUGAGGCUUCCUCCUCCAGCACGCCGGCUUGCACCCGUCUUCAAAGACUCCUAGAGAGAGUGAUAAGAAUCCAGCAGCCUGGUUUGAUGCAGAGCUCGUGGAAGGGGGCGGAUUUGAAAGUUUCCAGCUGACAACUGUAAUAUUAGACGCUGUCUGCAGCUCAUGUCAUUUCUGGAAAUGACCACUUUAUGGAGUCCGAAACACGCCUCAAAGAGAGCAGGCUUACUUGUCCACAGAAACGCUUCCCUCAGCCAGCUCCCAUAGUACAGCUUGAGGGCCCCUCGUCCAAAGUCCUGGUCCCAAGCACUUCUGAGCUCCGACCCUGUGACCUCCUGUCUAC
rnacentral:lncRNA from 1 species